AAGUCUAACUAAGAGGGAUUUACCAUGGUCAAGGAGGUGGUUUGUCCAAAGUGAGGCUCAGCCAUUGCACUUUGGCUGUGAUCUUUGCAAAUUCCCCAAAUGUGAGAAUCUCGGCUGCAUGAUUUCUGAUGGUGGAAACUGCAUUCGUGCACUCCUCUU